UACGUAGGGUGCGAGCGUUAAUCGGAAUUACUGGGCGUAAAGCGUGCGCAGGCGGUUUUGUAAGACAGGUGUGAAAUCCCCGGGCUUAACCUGGGAACUGCAUUUGUGACUGCAUCGCUGGAGUGCGGCAGAGGGGGAUGGAAUUCCGCGUGUAGCAGUGAAAUGCGUAGAUAUGCGGAGGAACACCGAUGGCGAAGGCAAUCCCCUGGGCCUGCACUGACGCUCAUGCACGAAAGCGUGGGGAGCAAACAGG
rnacentral:rRNA from 1 species